ACUCUUCAUGAUUAAAUAAAUAACUAACUUAGACAUAUUAUGGUUCAGUUUUAUUUUACUCUUUGGAUAUCUGAGUUUUCAGUUUGUUUUGGAAUGUAAUAAAGGGAAUUUGUGUUUUCUUGAAAUGGAAAUGGUUUUCUACCCCUCGUGGUAGCGUUUUGAAAAGUUAAAAGUUCCUGUGUAGGGAACAGUUUUCAAAAGGUUUUCUGUGGAUUUUGUAUCUUAGUAUUUCAAAACCUGUUUCUGUAGUUGGAAACAUUUUAACUGAUAGAUGUGGAUUUAUAUUUAAAUAGCGAUUGUAUAUUUGUGAAUCUGUGGUGAAUGGUGUAUGAAUGUAUAUCUGUGGUUGUUUGUAUAUUCAUCUGGUUGUGGCUGUUGUAUGAUUGAACUCUUGUACUUGCGACGCCGUGCAAAUACAGGGGAGA
rnacentral:lncRNA from 1 species